rnacentral:rRNA from 1 species
AUUGAACGCUGGCGGCAGGCUUAACACAUGCAAGUCGAGCGGGGUGAUGGUGCUUGCACUAUCACUUAGCGGCGGGCGGGUGAGUAAUGCUUAGGAAUCUGCCUAUUAGUGGGGGACAACAUCUCGAAAGGGAUGCUAAUACCGCAUACGUCCUACGGGAGAAAGCAGGGGAUCACUUGUGACCUUGCGCUAAUAGAUGAGCCUAAGUCGGAUUAGCUAGUUGGUGGGGUAAAGGCCUACCAAGGCGACGAUCUGUAGCGGGGCUGAGAGGAUGGUCCGCCACACUGGGACUGAGACACGGCCCAGACUCCUACGGGAGGCAGCAGUGGGGAAUAUUGGACAAUGGGGGGAACCCUGAUCCAGCCAUGCCGCGUGCGUGAAGAAGGCCUUAUGGUUGUAAAGCACUUUAAGCGAGGAGGAGGCUCUUUUGGUUAAUACCCAAGAUGAGUGGACGUUACUCGCAGAAUAAGCACCGGCUAACUCUGUGCCAGCAGCCGCCGUAA